GCCCAUAGCAGGAUUUGAUAGGCUGGGCUACAGAAUAUGUUUUCCAUGCUAACUGGUUGGUCCAGGGCUGAGAUAUUCUCAGACCAUAGCAGGGUUUGAUUUAAUUAGGGUAUGGUGGGCCGUGUUAGGCCCGCUCCGCUGCUUUCCUCUUCCAGCUGGAACGCACAGUUUUGGUGCUUGUUGAGGAGGUUUCCCCGCCAGCGGCACAAGACGCAGUUUAAAUCCCUAGAAAUUUUUCCCUUUUUGCUGAAAACCCUAACCAAGCAAUCACCCCAAAGCGCCGUGAAAACCCAACUCAAAACCCGUCAAUGUCAAGCUUUCCCUUGUCCUGGCGGUGGAAUUUUUUAGGAUAUUUUCUUCGGUGGUCUCUCUCCUUGCUGGCCCAACUGUUUUUUCUGUUUUUUUUCAAAAUUUUCACUUCCAGAGGAAUAAGAAGGUUCUACGGUCUCAUGCUCAGAGUUUACAAACCCUAAUUGACUGAAAAUGUCCACGUAUGACGCACAUCUUUCUCUCUUCUGAAAACUCUCAUAAUGCCAAAAACCAGGGCUUAAGGAUAUGCGUGAUGAAGUAGACAUUUUUGGUCAAAUGAGGGUUCCAAGUAUUUGGGGAUGAACAGGAAGAAGAAUGAUAAGAGUAGAUUACGUUAUAAGAGAGUUGAAAAGUGGAUAGCAGGAACUACUCCAAGUGGACUAAUCCGGACUUUAAAAGUAGAUUGUGCUGACCAACCCGGCAUCUAAAAGUAGAUUGUGCUGACCGGUGGCUUAAGGUUUGCAUCAGCUGUGCUAAACAACCGAAGGAAGGUUACUUCGGUUUAUAAGCCCUUCUGCAAUGAUUGGUUGUUUUUAGAAAGUUGCCGAAAAGCGGUAUCGAAGUAUCCAAACAUUGGAUACGAGGAAAUUAUUCCAGAGAAGUGUCUUAUGCAGCUUCACUUCAAUCUAGAGAUAUUUGAUGUUCUGGUAGCUCCAAACUUAUAUGGAAAAUAUGUUGGAUAUAAAGCUGCAGAAAUUGUUGGAGGCACUGGUGUCAUUGCUGGAGGUAACAAUUACUUAUUAAUGUGUUCUGUUUUGUUUACUGGUAAAUUUUUUUUACUUCAGUCAACAAUUCUAUAGCCGUGGCAGGAGAUGAUUACAUUAUUUGAGACACCUCUACUUAAAUUCACUUGUGGAUGAACUCAAAGCAGCUCUAAAACUUAUUGUGUUAGAAGGUAAGGUAAGUGUUAGACUGCACAACAAUUUAUUGAUGCUCUGUUGCUUCUUCUUAAAUUCAUUUGCGGAUGAACUCGAAGCAGCCACAAAACUUGUUGUGUUAGAAGGUGAGUGUUAGACUGCACAACAAAGUUAUUAAUGCUAUGUUGCUUCUACUUAAAUUCAUUUGCGGAUGAACUCGAAGCAGUCAUAAAACUUGUUGUGUUAGAAGGUGAGUGUUAGACUGCACAACAAGUUAUUGAUGCUGUGUUGCUUCAAUUUGAGCAGUAGGUUUUACUUUGAUAGAUAUGUUUUUUUUUUUUACUUAAUCAGAGAUGCAACUCCUAGCAAUCACUUUCACUUUUCUCUGUAAACUUUGAAAGCACCCCUCUCACAUUCAAGUUGGUGGCGCAAAACUGCCGUGCCGUGAGAUCUUGUUGAAGAGAAUGUAAAGGUUUUUGCCCCUUUUAAAGUUAAUUUCCACUUUUCUUUUGUGCAA